UACGUAGGGGGCAAACGUUGCUCGGAAUUACUGGGCGUAAAGGGUGUGUAGGCGGCUGGGCAAGUCAAAGAUGAAAUCCCGAGGCUUAACUUCGGAACUGUCUUUGAAACUGCCUAGCUUGAGGAUAGUUGAUGAAAAGGGAAUUCCCGGUGGAGCGGUGAAAUGCGUAGAUAUCGGGAGGAACACCUGAGGCGAAGGCGCUUUUCAAAACUACUCCUGACGCUGAAACACGAAAGCUAGGGGAGCAAACGGG
rnacentral:rRNA from 1 species